CCCACCCCAUGACUUCCAGAGACAGAGGAAAGGCUGAAGGUUGAGUUGAUUACCAGUAGCUCACGAUAUAAUCAUUCAUGCCUACAUAACACAGCUUUCAUAAGAACCCAAUAGGACAGGGUUCAAGGACCCUCUAAAGAAUGCCACACCUAUAGAGGCAUGGAAACUCUUUGCCACUUUCAUCUGACUAUUGAUCUAUAUCCUUUGUAAUGCCUCUUAUAAGAAAUGGGCAGAUUCUAGCAGUGUUUGUGAGAAAAACUGAUGGAUCCUGCAGAUUAACUAUGGACAGCCAAAUAUUGAGUAAAGUGAUGUCUACAACAGCAUCAGCUAUGCCUGAUAUGGUGUUAAUUCACAUUGUGAAGUUCCAAAAUCAGAAGAUGAUACAGAAAGAUUGCUCUGGUUGCCUGGUUUCUGAAGAAAUCGUGUACCCUGUCUGGAUAGUGUCUUACUUCCUAUCCACAAAGUUGUGAAAUAAUCUGGAAUUAAAUGGCAACCUAAACAACCCUAGAGUUGCCUGAACACAGAGCCAUUGCUGUGUUGAUCAUUAUAGCAGAACACUGACUAAUACUCAUACUUUGGGCAAUGUGUUAAGAAGAGGAAAUUUCAAAGUAGACUUAUCAGUAUCAAUGAAAACAAAACACUUACAAAUUCAGUGGCAGCCAGAAACAAACAAGGGGAUGCCCCUUGUUCACUAAGUGGAAGUGGCCACUUGGCUAAAUGAGAUACACGGUUAUGGAGGAAUUCAAACAAUGCAAAAGAGAGAAAAAGAGGAAUCUCUUUGUUGGCCUCACUAUCAAGCAUGCACUUUUUCUUGCUGCCGUCUGUGGAACAAUUGCUGAACUAUUGAAAACUGCACACCAAGGGUAAAAGCUGGAGCUUAAUUCCCCCUAAAUAUAUCUACCCUCUUCUUUUUUAAAAAUGUAUUUCAAUUAAAAUUAGUGUUCUCUCCGUUUUAA
ensembl:lncRNA LINC02109 long intergenic non-protein coding RNA 2109